AAAAAUGGUUUUUCUUGAGAAAGUAAGAGCUCACUGCAUAGUAAUUACAUGUUAUCUCUCUCAUUUUUGGCAUGAUGAGGUUUGUAAGGUUAGUUCUUUUCCUUUCCUGCAUAUGAGUUAGUGUGUCGUCUAGGAGCUCAAGGAAGCCAAUAUGAAGCCACUUGAAGCUUGUUUUUUUAAUCUGCUGUACGGCCAAGGCGGAUGUACGGUACAGCAGAAUUUGAGUGUGUGAGACACUUCAGUGAAGAGAUUGGGAGAUAAUCUCUUUGUUGUAAAGGUUUAUUGACACCUCGAAGUCAAUUGUAAUUGUUGAAGCCUUGGAAAGGCUUGGAUAGUGAAAUCCUCGAGCUUGGAUCGCUUGGAGGCGUGGACGUAGGCGGGGAUUGCCGAACCACGUAAAAAUUCGUGUGUUUGUUUCUCUUCUCCCUUACUCUUUAAUUAUUGUGCUAUUAUUGAACUUAUUGUUUUCAAUUAUUGUUAAGACAUUAGAUUGCUUGUUGUGUGGAUUUGUUAGGAUAGAUUUUAAAAAUCCAAUUCACCCCCCCUCUUGGGUUGCACACUUGUAUUUCAAAUUUCCCAUGAUUUAAACCUGAGAUAUGGGGCCUAAGGAGAGCAAUGAUGAUUAUAAGGGCUAAGAAUAUAUGUGUGCAACGAGAGCCAGUUCACACAAUGAUUUUGUGGUUUAGAAUCAAAUGGUAGGCAUUAGCCAAGACAAUGUAAUGUGCACAUUGCAUUUACAUGUGGAUUAGGGACAAGCUGACAAAACAUUCAGCAUCAAUAUGAACAUAAGACUGCAUAGCAAACACAAUUGGUAUUAUUGAAGGAACAUCAGUUGGCUCUACUUUGAAUUUUUUGAGAAAAUUAUUUGAAAUGGGUGGGGAAGAAAAUGAUCUUCCCAUCUUGCUUCGUUAGAUCAUUUGAAAAGGAGUUAUUGUCACAUGAGAUAGCUCUUUUCCUUCUCUCAAUGGUUAUAGUGGGGGUGUUCAGUUGGAUGAUACUCUAAUUGUGGAGAAUCUGCACAUAAAAAAGGUUUUUCUUGAGAAAGUAAGAGCUCGCUGCAUAGUAAUUACAUGUUAUCUCUCUCAUUUUUGGCAUGAUGAAGUUUGUAAGGUUAGUUCUUUUCCUUUCCUGCAUAUGAGUAGUGUGUCGUCUAGGAGCUCACGGAAGCCAAUAUGAAGCCACUCGAAGCUUGCAACGAAUGCAAUUCUAACUGAAGGGUUUUUCCAAAAGAAUCUGCAGCUUGAGG
rnacentral:lncRNA from 1 species